rnacentral:rRNA from 1 species
UAAUACGGAGGAUCCGAGCGUUAUCCGGAUUUACUGGGUUUAAAGGGUGCGUAGGCGGGUGGCUCAGUCGGCGGUGAAAUGCAGCGGCUCAACCGUUGCCCUGCCGUCGAAACUGGCCGCCUUGAAUUCGGUCGAGGCCGGCGGAAUGCGCGGUGUAGCGGUGAAAUGCUUAGAUAUCGCGCGGAACGCCGAUUGCGGAGGCAGCUGGCUGGACCGAGAUUGACGCUGAUGCACGACAGCGUGGGGAUCGAACAGGAUUAGAUACCCUGGUAGUCCACGCCGUAAACGAUGAUGGCUGGGUGUUGGCGAUACACUGUCAGCGCCUGAGCGAAAGCAUUAAGCCAUCCACCUGGGGAGUACGAUCGCAAGGUUGAAACUCAAAGGAAUUGACGGGGGCCCGCACAAGCGGAGGAACAUGUGGUUUAAUUCGAUGAUACGCGAGGAACCUUACCUGGGCUCGAACGCCCACCGACGGCACCGGAGACGGUGCUCUCCAGCGAUGGCGGUGGGCGAGGUGCUGCAUGGUUGUCGUCAGCUCGUGCCGUGAGGUGUCGGGUUAAGUCCCAUAACGAGCGCAACCCUUACUGCCAGUUGCCAUCGGGUGAAGCCGGGGACUCUGGCGGGACUGCCGGCGUAAGCCGUGAGGAGGGUGGGGAUGACGUCAAAUCAGCACGGCCCUUACGUCCAGGGCUACACACGUGUUACAAUGGCCGGUACAGAGGGCAGCCACCCCGCGAGGGGGCGCCAAUCCCGAAAUCCGGUCCCAGUUCGGAUUGGGGUCUGCAACCCGACCCCAUGAAGUUGGAUUCGCUAGUAAUCGCGCAUCAGCCACGGCGCGGUGAAUACGUUCCCGGGCCUUGUACACACCGCCCGUCAAGCCAUGGAAGCCGGGGGUACCUGAAGUGCGUAACCGCGAGGAGCGCCCUAGGGUAAGACCGGUGACUGGGGCU